rnacentral:rRNA from 1 species
GACGUAGGGCGCGAGCGUUGUCCGGAUUUAUUGGGCGUAAAGAGCUCGUAGGCGGCUUGUUGCGUCAGCUGUGAAAACCCGCAGCUCAACUGUGGGCUUGCAGCUGAUACGGGCAGGCUUGAGUUCGGUAGGGGAGACUGGAAUUCCUGGUGUAGCGGUGAAAUGCGCAGAUAUCAGGAGGAACACCAAUAGCGAAGGCAGCUCGCUGGGACGUUACUGACACUGAGGCGCGAAAGCGUGGGGAGCGAACAGG